rnacentral:RNase_P_RNA from 1 species
UAAGACAGACAAUCGCGGCUGACUGCGCAGGCAGCAGACGAGGAAAGUCCGGGCUUCAUAGGGCAGGAUGCCGGAUAACGUCCGGUGGAGGUGACUCCAAGGAAAGUGCAACAGAAAUAAACCGCCAGUGAGCGUUUUCAGGGUAUACCUGGGAACUGUCAGCUGGUAAGGGUGGAAAGGCAGUGUAAGAGACUACCGCCUUGCUGGUAACAGGAAGGGCAUAUGUAAACCCCAUCCGAAGCAAGACUAGACAGAAGCGAUGUGGCGGCCCGUCACGCUUCAGGUAAGUCGCUUGAGCCCCGCGGCGACGCUGGGCCUAGAUAGAUGAUUGUCCAACGACAUAACCCGGCUUAUCGUCUUGCUUA